rnacentral:tRNA from 1 species
CCCGAAGAAGCUAAUACGAGCAUUAGCCUUUUAAGCUAAAAAUGGGCACACCCUGUGCCCCUUUGGGC